rnacentral:lncRNA from 1 species
GCAAACCAAGAUGGUUAGAAUUCAAUCUCUGUUAUCUUUGUCAUUGGCAAUACUAGUUUCUCUCUUGUAUUCCACAACCACUACUUUAUCUCAAUUAUCACCUGCUAAUGCUCCUAUACAACCUACACUUCCAGCUCCAACCCAACCAGCUGCAUCCCCUAAACCAUUGGUACCUUCCUUACCAGAAUCACCUACUGACUACCACUACUUUAUCUCAAUUAUCACCUGCUAAUGCUCCUAUACAACCUACACUUCCAGCUCCAACCCAACCAGCUGCAUCCCCUAAACCAUUGGUACCUUCCUUACCAGAAUCACCUACUGACUCCACACCUGACACCGCAGGCACAGCGGUUGACAUAGUCGGAAUCCUGAGAAAAGCCAAGUCAUUCAACGUCCUAAUCCGACUCAUGAAAACGACUCAAU